rnacentral:rRNA from 1 species
CAUCCAACGCGUUGGGAGCUCUCCCAUAUGGUCGACCUGCAGGCGGCCGCGAAUUCACUAGUGAUUAGAGUUUGAUCAUGGCUCAGAUUGAACGCUGGCGGCAGGCCUAACACAUGCAAGUCGAGCGGUAGAGAGAAGCUUGCUUCUCUUGAGAGCGGCGGACGGGUGAGUAAUGCCUAGGAAUCUGCCUGGUAGUGGGGGAUAACGUUCGGAAACGGACGCUAAUACCGCAUACGUCCUACGGGAGAAAGCAGGGGACCUUCGGGCCUUGCGCUAUCAGAUGAGCCUAGGUCGGAUUAGCUAGUUGGUGGGGUAAUGGCUCACCAAGGCGACGAUCCGUAACUGGUCUGAGAGGAUGAUCAGUCACACUGGAACUGAGACACGGUCCAGACUCCUACGGGAGGCAGCAGUGGGGAAUAUUGGACAAUGGGCGAAAGCCUGAUCAAUCGAAUUCCCGCGGCCGCCAUGGCGGCCGGGAGCAUGCGAC